rnacentral:rRNA from 1 species
UACGUAGGGUGCGAGCGUUGUCCGGAAUUACUGGGCGUAAAGAGCUCGUAGGUGGUUUGUCGCGUUGUUCGUGAAAACUCACAGCUCAACUGUGGGCGUGCGGGCGAUACGGGCAGACUGGAGUACUGCAGGGGAGACUGGAAUUCCUGGUGUAGCGGUGGAAUGCGCAGGUAUCAGGAGGAACACCGGUGGCGAAGGCGGGUCUCUGGGCAGUAACUGACGCUGAGGAGCGAAAGCGUGGGGAGCGAACAGG